CGUGUAGGCGGUUUGUUAAGUCUGAUGUGAAAGCCCCGGGCUCAACCUGGGAAGUGCAUUGGAUACUGGCAGACUUGAAUACGGGAGAGGGUAGUGGAAUUCCUGGUGUAGGAGUGAAAUCCGUAGAUAUCAGGAGGAACACCGGUGGCGAAGGCGGCUGCCUGGACCGAUAUUGACGCUGAGACGCGGAAGCGUGGGGAGCAAACAGGAUUAGAUACCCUGGUAGUCCACGCCGUAAACGAUGAGUACUAGGUGUUGCGGGUAUUGACCCCUGCAGUGCCGCAGCUAACGCAUUAAGUACUCCGCCUGGGAAGUACGGUCGCAAGACUAAA
rnacentral:rRNA from 1 species